CAACAGGGAUUACCUCAGUAACGGCGAGUGAAGCGGUAACAGCUCAAAUUUGAAAUCUGGCUCCCCCGGGGUCCGAGUUGUAAUUUGUAGAAGCUGCUUUGGGUGCGGCCCCGGUCUAAGUUCCUUGGAACAGGACGUCAUAGAGGGUGAGAAUCCCGUACGUGAUUGGGUGCCCGCGCCCGUGUAAAGCGCUUUCGACGAGUCGAGUUGUUUGGGAAUGCAGCUCAAAAUGGGUGGUAAAUUUCAUCUAAAGCUAAAUAUUGGCCAGAGACCGAUAGCGCACAAGUAGAGUGAUCGAAAGAUGAAAAGCACUUUGGAAAGAGAGUUAAACAGUACGUGAAAUUGUUGAAAGGGAAGCGCUUGCAACCAGACUUGGGCGCCGCCGAUCAUCCGGGGUUCUCCCCGGUGCACUCGGCGGCGCGCAGGCCAGCAUCGGUUCGGGUGGUGGGAUAAAGGCCGCGGGAACGUGGCUCCCCUCGGGGAGUGUUAUAGCCCGCGGUGCAAUGCUGCCUACCUGGACCGAGGACCGCGCUCCGGCUAGGAUGCUGGCGUAAUGGUUGUAAGCGACCCGUCUUGAAACACGGACCAAGGAGUCUAACAUCUAUGCGAGUAUUUGGGUGCCAAACCCACGUGCGGAAUGAAAGUGAACGGAGGUGAGAACCCUUCAGGGUGCAUCAUCGACCGAUCCUGAUGUCUUCGGAUGGAUUUGAGUAAGAGCAUAGCUGUUGGGACCCGAAAGAUGGUGAACUAUGCCUAAAUAGGGUGAAGCCAGAGGAAACUCUGGUGGAGGCUCGCAGCGGUUCUGACGUGCAAAUCGAUCGUCAAAUUUGGGUAUAGGGGCGAAAGACUAAUCGAACCAUCUAGUAGCUGGUUCCUGCCGA
rnacentral:rRNA from 1 species